AUUGAACGCUGGCGGCAUGCCUUACACAUGCAAGUCGAACGGUAACGCGGGGCAACCUGGCGACGAGUGGCGAACGGGUGAGUAAUGCAUCGGAACGUGCCUGGUAGUGGGGAUAACUGCUCGAAAGAGCAGCUAAUACCGCAUACGACCUGAGGGGGAAAGGGGGGGAUCGCAAGACCUCUCGCUAUCAGAGCGGCCGAUGGCGGAUUAGCUGGUUGGUGGGGUAAAGGCCCACCAAGGCAACGAUCCGUAGCUGGUCUGAGAGGACGACCAGCCACACUGGGACUGAGACACGGCACAGACUCCUACGGGAGGCAGCAGUGGGGAAUUUUGGACAAUGGACGCAAGUCUGAUCCAGCCAUGCCGCGUGCGGGAAGAAGGCCUUCGGGUUGUAAACCGCUUUUGUCAGGGAAGAAAUCUUCUGGGUUAAUACCUCGGGAGGAUGACGGUACCUGAAGAAUAAGCACCGGCUAACUACGUGCCAGCCGCCGCGGUAAGAC
rnacentral:rRNA from 1 species